UACGAAGGGGGCUAGCGUUGUUCGGAAUUACUGGGCGUAAAGGGCGCGUAGGCGGUUCGUCACGUCGGCUGUGAAAACCCGAGGCUCAACCUCGGGCCUGCAGUCGAUACGGGCGGACUGGAGUUCGGCAGGGGAGACUGGAAUUCCUGGUGUAGCGGUGAAAUGCGCAGAUAUCAGGAGGAACACCGGUGGCGAAGGCGGGUCUCUGGGCCGAUACUGACGCUGAGGAGCGAAAGCGUGGGGAGCAAACAGG
rnacentral:rRNA from 1 species